AGGAAUAUUGGUCAAUGGACGCAAGUCUGAACCAGCCAUGCCGCGUGAAGGAUGAAGGUCCUCUGGAUUGUAAACUUCUUUUAUAGGGGGCGAAAAAAGGUUUUUCUAAAUCACUUGACAGUACCCUAUGAAUAAGCACCGGCUAACUCCGUGCCAGCAGCCGCGGUAAUACGGAGGGUGCAAGCGUUAUCCGGAUUCACUGGGUUUAAAAGGUGCGUAGGCGGGUAGGUAAGUCAGAGAUGAAAUCCUGGAGCUUAACUCCAGAACUGCCUUUGAUACUAUCUAUCUUGAAUAUGGUGGAGGUAAGCGGAAUAUGUCAUGUAGCGGUGAAAUGCAUAGAUAUGACAUAGAACACCUAUUGCGAAGGCAGCUUACUACGCCUAUAUUGACGCUGAGGCACGAAAGCGUGGGGAUCAAACAGGAUUAGAUACCCUGGUAGUCCACGCCCUAAACGAUGAUUACUCGACGUAUGCGAUACACAGUAUGCGUCUGAGCGAAAGCAUUAAGUAAUCCACCUGGGAAGUACGACCGCAAGGUUGAAACUCAAAGGA
rnacentral:rRNA from 1 species